rnacentral:lncRNA from 1 species
GGCGCGCGCCCCGGCCGGGCCCUGCGGUGGCGGCCGGUCUGUGUGUCUCUCCAGUCCGCUCACCCUCGCUGGGGCUCCGCACUGCGCGUGCGCUGACGCCGGCUCUCUGGCUUAAGAAGCCGCCUGUAGUUUGCACUGGAGGAGUAGCUAGGUAGUCCCAGGAAAUGAGCUCUAUGCCGACCCGCCGACUGGCCCGGUAGUUCCUGGGCCGCGACGAGCUUAGGGCGUCUAAGAAUAAUGCUAUAAUAAACAUUCGACCUUAAUGCAAAGAUAUUGGCGUUUCCAAGACAACAAGAUACAAGAUAUAUGCUUUGGAGUCCUAGGAGAAUCUUGGAUUCAAAGAAAUGUACAGCAGAACAUCCAUCCAGAAAACCAGGAGCUAGUCAGAGUGCUUCGAGAACAAUUCCAAACAGAACAGGAUGUCCCUGCUCCUGCCCGACAGCAGUUCUACACUGAAAUGUACUGUCCAAUCUGCUUACAUCAAGCCUCCUUUCCUGUUGAAACAAACUGUGGACAUCUCUUUUGUGGUUCCUGCAUAAUUGCAUACUGGCGAUACGGGUCCUGGCUUGGUGCAAUCAGUUGUCCUAUCUGUAGACAAACGGUAACUCUCCUCCUAACAGUAUUUGGUGAAGAUGAUCAAUCUCAGGAUGUUAUAAGAUUGCGUCAAGAUGUUAAUGAUUAUAACCGGAGAUUCUCAGGGCAGCCUAGAUCUAUUAUGGAAAGGAUCAUGGACCUCCCCACCUUGCUGAGACAUGCGUUCAGGGAAGUGUUUUCAGUUGGGGGCCUCUUCUGGAUGUUCCGCAUUAGGAUAAUGCUUUGUUUGAUGGGAGCUUUUUUCUAUUUAAUAUCACCUCUAGAUUUUGUACCUGAAGCCUUGUUUGGAAUUCUGGGCUUUCUAGAUGAUUUCUUUGUUAUCUUUUUGUUGCUUAUUUACAUCUCCAUUAUGUAUCGAGAAGUGAUAACCCAAAGACUAACUAGGUGAAAAAAAAUUAGUUUACUAGAAUAUCCGAGCUUAUAUAUAAAAUU